rnacentral:lncRNA from 1 species
CUAGCGGUUACGUGUCACAUAGUACAGGUACUACGCCCACAGCGACAAGUGAAAAACUUCUUUUGGUCUCUGUAGUGUCCCGGUGUCAUUUUUACCCUUCCCCGAGAAGAGGUGGCUUUCACCCUCCAAGUAAGAGCAGCUCUGUGCUCAGGUCCAAAAGUGAAGUCGAGGAUGAGAGGAACCUAAAUCCAAAUGUUCAAGCAAAUCCGUAGUGACGAGGAGAAGGGUUGGUUUUCACCCCCCCCCCCCCCAAGUAAAAGCAACCAACGGCACAAGUCCAAAAGUGGAGGGAAUUUUUAGUUGGGCUGUGGCUCUGUGAAUUCUCUCGUCAGACAACACUUUGAAGCCGAUACUGGAAAUCAUCGCUACCAUGAAGAUUCAUAUGAUUAAGGACUGAAAUUGAAUUGUGAUGAAGCAGCCUUUUAGCAAAAUUCGGAAAUGAAGAGAGCUAUCCGUCGACAGUAUAUAUUUUACACUGUCAUGGAGUUGCUCUCUUUAUAAACGAAUUUUUUAUCUACAAAGACGGAACAUAGAACUACUAGCCAUGGAGUUAAAGUUAAGUUAAAUUUAGAGAUGACUCGCCAAAGAAAGUAUUUAGAAAUUUGUACAUUUAUUUCGUAGAUACAGAGAGGAUCUAAAUUAUGGAAUACAUUCAUUUUCUCUAAAAUGGACGACUUUAGAGAAAAACUCCGAAAUAGGUCGUUUUUUAUUUUCAAAUUCCAUUUUUUGGCAUAUUUUUCAUACUAGUGACGUCAUCCAUCUGAGCGUGGUGACGUAAUCGAUGAUUUUUUAAAAUUGGAUUAGCAGUCGUGUGGCACCUCAUUUGAAAGGGUGUUUAAUUCUCUAUACAGUAAUUUAAACACUAAUAUCAUUAUUUAUACAGGGUGACCAAAAUAAUAAUUUUUGAAUUAAAUUAAUUGACGAAAAAAAGAAGAAUGUAUGCAAUUUAUUUAACUCAAAAUACAUUUUAUCGCCGUCAGAAAAUAGAAAAAAGAAUGUGUGUGUACUUUGUACGCAUGUAAGAAGUUAUACUUCUAUUAUAUGAUUUAAACGAAAUUAAUAUACUUUUUAUUUAUAUUUUGUUUAAAUAUUAAACUAAUUUAUACUUACUACUUCUCAAACAUUUUUAUUAGAACAGUGCCAAAAAUUAAAAUAAUAAAAGGAUAAAACACACACAAACACAUUAAACAAGCCACAAAUGAUGUCUGAACAUUAAUUGUCGAAAAUUUUUUUAACUAAAUACGUAUUUUCUGAAAAUACAAUUAUAUAAUAAAUAUACUUACAAUCAUAAAAUGUAUUAAAAAAAACAAAAAAGAAAGUUUCUAUUGGGACUCGAACCAGCGCUGAUAAGAGCGGUUGGUAUUGAAAUUCAUUCGCCUUCUCCUCUUAGCCACGGACACUAUGUGUCAUUAUUUACGAAGAUCGACUAACUAAACGGAUUAAACUUGUGAUAUUUUGAUAUUUUGAAAAUUGAUCAAAUUAUUUUAAUUUUGAAUUGAAAUGAUUUAGAAUUGAAAAAAUACAACAAAACAUAGAGUAAAAAAACAAUAUAUUAGGUGAAUAUUGAUAGAAAUUUUGAUGGUAAUCAAAUUAUAUAAAUAAAAGUAUUACAUACUAUGUAUUUUGGCAGAUCAAAUAGGUAGGUUUAUACUCAUGAUACAUUCACAAUUAUUACGUACCUGUUGCUUUUAAAAACUAUUUAAAAGUCACUACAAUAUUAUAAACUUUUUUGUUUCUGUCCUCACAACAAUAAAACUAAUAUAUUAUACAUUUGUUUACCUUUACCUUUACCUCCAAACCACAGCUGCCAUAUCGGAUAAUUUUUGACAUGUCAUUUGAACAUCCAAUCAGAACAAAGUUAUAAUGCGCAUGCGCCGGGCUGAUAGGUUUUAACAUAUAAAAAAAUCACCCUCUAUCGCCGGUAAAGAAGUAUAACUUUAAAAAAUGUUUAUUUGGCAAAUAAACAUUGCUUUUCGCUUAAAUUAAAUGUUCAAACUGCCAAGAUGUAGGUGGGAGAUUUAAUUAGUUUUGUGAUUUAAUUUAAGCGAAAAGAAAUGUUUAUUUGUAAAAUAAACAUUUUUUUCUAUUUACUGACAGCCGUGCAAUGUAUUUUGAGUUAAAUAAAUUACAUACAUUCUUCUUUUUGGGUCAAUUAUUUUAAUUCAAAAAUUAUCUUUUUGGGCACCCUGUGUAAAUAAUGAUAUUAUCGUUUAUAUUACUGAAUAGAGAAUUGAACACCCUUUCAAAUGAGGUGCCACACGACCCCUAUUCCCAUUAAAAAAUCAUUGAUUACGUCAUCACGCUCAGAUGGAUGACGUCACUAGUAUGAAAUAUAUGCCAAACAAUUUUAAUUUAAAAAUAAAAAUCGAUCUGUUUCAGGAUUUUUCUACAAAGUCGUCCAUUUUAGAGAAAAUGAAUUUAUUCCAUAAUUUAGAUCCUCUCGCUGUAUGUCGUCGCUGUGAAAGAAAACCGGCAUAAGUGCAAAAAAUCGAUUUUUGGGAUAUUGGUAUCAAAAUAUUUCUCUUACUUUUGUCUAUUUUUUAUGUCAAACCGCCAUAAAAUUAGGCCAAAAGAAAGUCAAUCAAAUGCCGUUAGGCCGGUUUGCAUAAUGUCUUAUCCACUACUUUACUUUACAGAAGACAUACCUAUUGCCCAUUGCGUCAGUCGGAACCUAGAGCUAAUUGGAAUAUAAUCAGUUCUCACUGCGGCUUAAGUGCAAACAGUAAUCAUAUUUUAAGGCCAUAGUUGCAUAGCUGCAUAUUUCUCUGGAUUUAGUCAAUAACCUGGUUAUUUGCUAGAAAUACUUCAACAAGCAAGACUUUUCAUAAUGUUAUCCCAGGAAAUCGUAUCCCUAGUGCGACUUAAACGGUAGUAAGCGAUAAAAAAUAAUAAUUGCAAAAUCUUUGAAACUCUCUGGUGAAAAAUGUCUCUUUUGCAUUUAUGUCGGUUUAAUUUCACAGCGACGUUGCGGAUUGUAAUUUGUAACUUAAUGUACUAUAGUAUAAUCUUAAAUUUAUUAUUAUAAUUAUUGGUAUUGUAAAAUAAAUAUGUUUUUCUACAACUUUGUUAAAAAUGCAAUUUUUAGCACUCCAUACGAGCGUUAAAAAUGCUACUUUAAGGCACUAGUGCUUUAAAAUUUUUAUGGCACUGCAAUUCGUAUUGACCGUAUAGGCAAUUUUGAUGUAAUGUCAAAAAAAUAUAUAAAUGAAAUGUCAGUCAAGUUCAAGUAAAAGUUUUUGUAGAUAUUGUCCUGUAAUUACGUUUGUAGAAAAAAUAUUGUAUGAUAUGCGUGUUAAAAAGUACAUUUUUAAGCCACUCAUGUGAAUUGCAGAACUCGCUAUCGCUCAUUCUGCAAACUUUCACAUGCGUGCCUUAAACGUGUACUUUUAACACUUAUAUCAUAAAUAACUAAUAAAUUAUUUUUGAAGUUAUACUUCUUUAGGCACGAUUGAGAUUGAGGGUGAAUUUAUAUUGAUCUGCGCGCAUGCGCACACCGAUAGUUUGGUAUUAGUCUUUAUACGGGCUCUGAUUGGGUGUUGAAAUGAUCUGUCAAUAAUUGUUCAAUAUGGAGGUUAUCGGUAAACAAAAAUGUUGUAUAAUAUAUUAGUUUUUAUUGUUGUGAGGACAGAAAUAAAAUCAAAUUUAUAAUUAUAGUGACUUUUUAACUAGUUUUGAAAAGCCACAGGUACGUAAUUCUAAAUGUUUCAGUUGUAUUCCAAUAAAAAAUUAUCUUCAUACCUAUUUGGAAAAUGUAAAAAAAAUAAUGUACUUACCUAGUACUUGCUAUGCUAUACCCCUAGUAGGCAAUGCUUUAAUUUACAUAAUCUUAUUACGAACAAACUUACAAAUUUUCAUCUAAUGUAUCGUUUUCUUACUCUAUAUAUUGUUGUAUUUUAAUUCAACAAAAAUCAAACUAAUAAAAAUUCAUAUAAACAAAAUGUCAAAAAGUUGUUCAGUUGGUGUAUAUUCCCACAUGACGUAUACGCGAAGGUGGUGCAGUUUGAAAUCGCUUGACUCGCGUACGGCGGGAUACACGGGAAGUAGGUUCAAGCCCAAUGCAAGUUAUAUCAUUUUUUUUAAUUUUUUUUUAUAGAUUUUAUGAUUGUAAAUAUAUUAUUAUAUAAUGUUUUUCAAAAAACACGUAUUUAAUUAAAAUUUUUGGCAACAAUUAUUGUUCAGAAAUCAUUUGUGGCAUUUUUCAAUGUGUUUGUGUGUGUUUUAUUCUUUUAUUUUUUUAAUUUUUGACAUUGCUUUAACAAAAAUUUUUGGAAAGUAGUAGAGAAACUGUUUAAAGUAUAUUGAUUUCGUUGAAAUCAAAUAAUAGAAGUAUAACUUCUUACGUGCGUACAAAGUACACACAUUCUUUUUUUAAAUAAGUUUAUUUCUUUAUUUAUGUUUUCAUAAAGAAUGACAGUUGACAGUUAUUUUAUCUUUAGAUUGUACAAUAGUAGAUUUCAUCUAACUGAUGUGGAAUGUCAAUAGGUAGGUACCUACGUACUGAAACACUAGCGUAUAUUAAUAUAUCUCCAAAAACCCUGUUAUAAUAGUUAUAAGUGGUGUAGGGCGACAAUAUAAUAGGUUCAAUACAAAGACAACUCAAUAUUAGAUAACCCUUAGCUGCUAUGGCCAAAAAUUGUAACA